rnacentral:rRNA from 1 species
AGACAGUGAGUAGCUUGCUAUGAGCUGUUUUAGCGGCGGACGGGUGAGUAACGCGUGAGCAACCUUUCCCAGACAGGGGAAUAACACACCGAAAGGUGUACUAAUACCGCAUAAGACCACGGGAUCACAUGGUUCUGAGGUAAAAGGAGCAAUCCGGUCUGGGGUGAGUUCGCGUCCGAUUAGCUAGUUGGCGAGGUAACGGCCCACCAAGGCGACGAUCGGUAGCCGGACUGAGAGGUUGAACGGCCACAUUGGGACUGAGACACGGCCCAGACUCC